GUAGACACCAUAGUUUACAUGAUCCCAAAAAGGAUCUGUUGAGAGAAUGGAAAAUCUAAUUGAUCUUCUUCGUAAAAAAUGAGCUUUGCAAUGUGAUAUAAAUAGGCUACAAACUAAAUUCUAUUUUACAGGAACCAAUACAAAUUCGACAUGUGGAUUAACUGCCCCAACUAUCCUAACAAACUUCCAGCUUAGCAUAACAAAUUGUAGCUGCUUCCAGCUUGCUGUGAUUCCACAUAUUCUAUCACACCCCCUCAAAAUGGACAAAGAGGAUUGAUAAUGGCCAUCUUGGACAUCAAUGGAAACAAGGACGUUGUAGGUAAAGGCUUAGUGAAUAUGUUAGCUAACUGAUGUUGAGUACGGACAGAAAGCAGUUUGAUAAAUCCAUCAGUGAUAUUGCCUCGAAUGAAGUGACAAUCUAAUUCAAUAUACUUCGUCCUCUCAUGGAAUAUAGGAUUAGUAGCUAUAUGUAUGGCGGCUUGAUUGUCACAAAAUAUUAGAACAAGAGCAAGUGAAAAGACUUGAAAAUCAUGAAGUAGUUGUUGAAUCCAAACAAGCUUACUGUUAGUUGAGGCUAAGGCCCUAUAUUCUGCCUAUGCAGAAGAUUUUGAUACAGUGUUCAGUUUCUUAGAUUUCCAUGACACCAAAGAAUCACCAAGGAAAACACAGAAUCCUGUAACUGACUUCCAUGUGUCAAGGCAAGAGCCCCCAAUCUGCAUCAGCAAAAGCUCGAAGUUGAAAUGAUGAAUGAGCUGAAAAUAGAAGACUCUAACCUGGAGUUGCCUUCACGUAUUGUAAAAGGUGAUGAAUAUCAUUGAGAUGAGGUUUCCUGGAUUGUAAAACAAACUUACUCAGCUUGUGGACUGCAAAUGUAAUGCCAGGUCUCGAUAUAGUUAAGUAAAGCAAGUGACCAACCAAUCUUCUAUACAUGGAAGCAUCAUCCAGGAGUUCACCUUGAAACGAGCAUAAUCGAGCCUUGGGAUCCAUAGGUAAAGUGACUGGCUUGCAAGCCAUAGAACCAGUAUCUUCAAGAAGUUGAAGUGUAUAAUGGCGCUAAGAUAAAAAGAUCCCCUUUUGCGAACAUGAAAUUUCCAGUCUUAGAAAGUAAUUUAGCUGGCCCAUAACCUUAACUUUAAACUGACUGUGGAGAAAUACUAUCAAAUUGUUGAUAGUUGCAUAACCAGGACAAGUGAUGAGAUAUCAUCAACGUAGACCAACAAUGCUAUAAAGGAUUUACCAGAACCUUUUGUGAAAAGUGAAUAAUCAGAUUUUGAUUAAUGAUAUCCAUGUAAGAGAAGAGUAUUGGAGAACUUUGAAAACCACUAUCUUGAUGCCUAUUUAAGACCAUAUAUGGAUUUAUGUAACAUGCAAACAAAACUCGUUUGCCUCCUGUAUGUCAGCAAUAAAAGAUGUGUUAUAAUCCUGUUAGAUUUUGUGUUGGCUAUUCUGUGAACGAAAGGGUAAAAUUGUAAAUGUUCAAAAGUUUGGGAUCAAUUCGUCAAUAUUUAAAUGUUAAGGGUCAAAUUGUACAUGUGUAAAAGAUGAGGGACUACGUUGCAAUUUUGUGAAAAUAUGUUAGGGUUCAAGCUAUGAAGUAGGGCAAGAUGUGUCGUUGAAGUUUCACUAGCUGCUCGCCAAGUGGUCGCUCGAGCAACAAAAACAGAAAGGUCGUCGCUCGUUUCUCGCCCCCACUUCGCUCGAGCGAAACAGCAUUGCUCGCUUUUCGCUCGAGCGACGGUGUUACCUAAAAAAUCCUAUUUUCCUUUUUUCGACAUUUUGACCCGACCUAAAUGUCCCAAUACACUUCAUAUAAAUUAAAUUGUGCCAGUUUUCAUACGUCUCUCUUAAGGAUUGAAAUUAAAGAAAAACUCUCUACACUUGAUUCAUUCAUUCAAUCCCACAUUUGAUUCUCGCAAUCACCUAAAAACAUCAAAUCUACAUUCAUCAAACACCACAACACAACCUUCCAGUGCUUUUGUUGAUUUUUGGAGAUCAAGGAGAUCGGAGUCCCGAUUGUUAGAGAACAUACGAUUCUCUUGAAUCCACAGGAAAUAGAUGAAAUCAAGAGCCAGGAAUUGGUGUAGCAUGCAAACCAGGAGGGCUAAGAGCCAGGAGUUGGUGCAGGAUCACGCAUUCCAAGAAGGCUUUGAGGAAAUUACAGUUAGGAGGUCAGAAAAAUCAGUGUGGGUUGAGUCUGGCAGAUUGUAAGUUGUAUUUUCACUUAUAGUGGAUUCUUACUGGCUUGGGUCCAGAGUUUUACCCACCUUGAAGUUUCUCCGUCGACAAACAAUUGCGUUAUUUACUUUUCUGCUAUUAAUUUAUUAUCGAUAUUCAAACAUAGGAUAGUAAAGUAUGUGAACUGAUCUGGACAAAU
rnacentral:lncRNA from 1 species